UUUUGGUAAAAAAAAAGAAAAGAAAGAAGAACCGCCCUUCUUCUCUCUCUCAAUCUCUCUCUCCCUCUCCCUCUCCCUCUCAACCCUAACCCACUACUUCCUCAUUUUCUCUGCCUCCAUAGUUCUAGAUCUACUCCCAAGCUUGAAUUAUUGUCUCAAUUUCAAGAUAUACGAUAAGUUGUGAGCGUUUCUUAAGACUUUGAGAUCUUUGAAUUGAGGUUCGUCGGCAAUGCAACUGUUCGUCUUUUCUCUCAUUUCCAGUUCUUCCUAGUUGUUGUUUGUUGACAACAAUCAUUGGCUUAUCAGCAGGGCCAGGAAUCACCUUGAAGGGCCAUAACUUCAUGUCAGCUUGCACUGACGGAUCGCUCACUCUCCUUCAAAUCAAUCGUUUAGCAUCUGAAACCAAUAUUUUUUUAUCAGGUAAUCAGUAUUCUGCCCUCAGAAAAUCUUCAACUUCACCCAACAACUAACAAUCCAAAACGUUUUCUAUCAACUCUAUCAGAAACACUCUAAUCACUAAGAGUACUCAUUAUACCUUUCUCUUCUUUAUUUCCAGAUUGUAUUUCAAUCUAAACUGACAAAUAAUCCAUCAAAUUUUGGUUUAGUUAUUGUUUUCCUCCAUUUUCUAGGAUUGUUUUAGAUUUUGUGUAAUUUUGGGUUUGCUUUGAUAUUUGGGUUAAAUUCCUGCAUCAUUUGUCUUACUAGGUGGAAUUUUUGGAUUAUGAAAGUAUGAAAUGUGCUAGAACUUAUUGUCACUUGUACGAGACAUGAGACCAUGAGUAAUAGAUACUUAUUUCUCUUCUUUGCGCCAUUUUAGGAAUUUAUUUGUUUCCCUUCAUUAAUAGUCCAUAAAUUGAUUAAACAAUUUGGGUUUUCAUGUUGAAAGCUUGCUCUGUUACAAGAUAUGCAGGGCUAAAAUAGUUAUCAUUAUUACACAAAUAGGAACAAGAAAGCGUUUAAGCCUCUUACUCUUAGUCUAUGUCCUUAUGUCGUGUGUGAGUGCUCAAAUGUCUGUUUAGAUUUUUUUAAGCUCAAUCGACUUCUAUAGAUUUUGAAGGUUCAAUAAAUUAAAGUAUGAAUUUUAUAUCUUACAAGUUUUUUUCCCUGAGAGAUGAGAUUAUGUUUGUUACUAUUGUACGUUCCUGUUUGAACUAUAAAAAGCUCUCAUUCUUACUACAAGUAUAGAGAACUAGCAACAUAAUACCUCAGUUUUCCCUGUCCUUUAUGAAGAAAAUUUCCUAACUUUGCUUUAUGGUCACAAAUGUGAGCUUAAUUUGCGUGUGAGGUAUUAUGUCAUCUACCUACUAGUAUUUCUGUAAGUUUAGAUCAUGGUUUUAAACAUAGAAAUUUCAUUUAUUUUCUCCUCUACUCCUAAGUGGAAUAUUGGCUUGUCGCUUUACAUUCUGUUUUCUCCAUGACUUUCAAGGAUAUAUCAUCAACUAUUUAACUUUUAAGCAUGUACUUAGUGCACACCUUUAUAAGUUCUUUCUAGAACUCGAACUACUCUUGUAUAGUUCUAUAUAUAAACAUAUUCCAUGGUGUAUACUGUGCGUCCUCGAUAUUUUUAAUUGAUCGGAAUUCCAAUGGGGUUGUCUGACGGUAUCAGAAAGAUACCAGAAGCCAUUCGAAUAUCCAAGAAAGCCUCAAGGAUAAUCGUGGAAAAUGUAAUCAUAGCAUUCUCUACAAAGAGUCUAGUUCUAGAAUUAGCCCUUGUUCACUACUCUAUGCUGUUAUCUGAUGUUGUAACAGACAUCGGGACAUGCCUGCUAGUAAUAUUGAACAACAUAGUAGUUCAAAGUGCAUAUCAUCAAAUGGGUGUAAGUUUGGAGCAAGUAGUUAGCUUUAUAAUGUGAUUUCACAGAUUGAUAUUGCCACUUUGCGUGGUGUAGGAAGCCCCAUCGAUUUCGACAAUUCAUACUACAAAAUACUCCUUGAGAAUUCGAUGUCUUCAGGUCAGUCGGUUCACAUCGUUAAUGUUUUUUGAGUAUUGUGUUAUGAGUUGCAUAUACAUGAAUAAAGAGAGAUUUUUGUCGUAAGGUAUCCCAUUUAGUCUGACUUUACAGAAGCGGGGAGGAAGAAGUCACUAGUAUUGUGUCAUGUAAUGUAAAUUAUGAAAUCUUAGAGGGAAUACGGUCGAGAGAAGCAGAUUAAGAUGCAUAUAAGACACAUUUUGAUAGUUGUUGCUUCUGUGUGCCAUGUUAUAUGGUGGAAACACAACAAUCCUAUGUGAAUGCAUCUCAGUAUGUUUGUGCUAAAUGUAGAAGACCUUGUAGGAUAGAAAAUAUUCCAAGCCCCUCCAUGUUAUGCGAUCAGUUGUUUAGUUAGAGCCCUUAAUCCUUUGAUUUCUUUAGUUACAAAGUUGUCAGAUUCUAUGAUUUACAGAAGUGAAUCUUCUAUUCCCUCAAAAGUCGUUGUAUGGUUUCAUUCUUCGUCGUCAUUGUUGUUAGGACUUUGUUCUGACUGUGGUCUUGAACUCUUCCACCAGAUAUGAUGUAUAAUUCUUUACCUUAUAUUUUGUUAAGAUUUAUUUGUUUUUUAUAUGUACUGAUUAUAUUUUUGUAUUUUUUUUGAAGGUGCAAAAUGAUAAAGGAGCAACCGGAGAAUGGAGGGACACCUUAGCUUUAAAUUAGCUACUACUGUCAUCUAUCUAACUGUAUCCUAGUUAGAUUUUCUAGGCUUUAGGAUAUAGGACAGGUUUUAGGCUUUAGUCAUUUUUGGAUAGGUUUUAAGCUUUAUUUAAUACGGAAUAGAUACUAUUUGUAUUUAUGAUGAUGUUGCAGGCUAAAUUGGCUAACAUUUCUUAAUUAGGGAUCUCGUUAUGUCAACUACAUUAAAAUUUAAAAUGUUAGUAAAUUUAUUAAAUUUUUCA